rnacentral:rRNA from 1 species
GGCGGCGUGGAUAAGACAUGCAAGUCGAACGGGAGUUUGCUGGUAGCAAUAUUAGUGAACUCUAGUGGCGAAAGGGUGCGUAACACGUAGCUACCUACCUCGAAGUUGGGGAUAGCUCGGCGAAAGCCGGAUUAAUACCGAAUGUGACUGUAAGGUCAAAGCUGGGGAUCGUAAGACCUGGCGCUUUGAGAUGGGGCUGCGGCCUAUCAGGUUGUUGGCGGGGUAAUGGCCCACCAAGCCUAAGACGGGUAGCUGGUCUGAGAGGACGACCAGCCACACUGGAACUGAGACACGGUCCAGACACCUACGGGUGGCAGCAGUCGAGGAUUUUUCUCAAUGGGGGAAACCCUGAAGGAGCGACGCCGCGUGAGGGAUGAAGGUCUUCGGAUUGUAAACCUCUGUCAUCUGGGAACAAUGUGAUCUACCUAACACGUGGAUUAUUGAUAGUACCGGAAGANGAAGCAGUGGCUAACUCUGUGCCAGCAGCCGCGGUAAUACAGAGACUGCAAGCGUUGUUCGGAUUCAUUGGGCGUAAAGGGUGCGCAGGCGGUUCGUUAA